ensembl:lncRNA
GAGAACACAGCCGGGCUCCAGGUAUGAAGACCAUCUCCUGGCGUCGGUGCAGCCACCCCUUCAGAAGACCGCUGCAUGAGUGUCUUUGUGUCUCACUCUGUUAGACCCGGGCUACCUGAGACGAUUUACAACACACGUGGUUUAGGGAUUGUGAUUUUACGAGAAUGCAGAACCAGCUGUAGGAGCCAACGAUCCAGUGGUAUGAUCAGCAUGGUGAGAGUGUCCCUACGUGAGGGAGACUCUUUCUGUCUGUCACUCA